rnacentral:rRNA from 1 species
GACGAACGCUGGCGGCGUGCUUAACACAUGCAAGUCGAACGGAAAGGCCCCUUUGGGGGUACUCGAGUGGCGAACGGGUGAGUAACACGUGAGUAACCUGCCCUUGACUUCGGGAUAACUUCAGGAAACUGGGGCUAAUACCGGAUAGGAAUCCUUGCUGCAUGGUGGGGGUUGGAAAGCUUCGGCGGUUUUGGAUGGACUCGCGGCUUAUCAGCUUGUUGGUGGGGUAGUGGCUUACCAAGGCUUUGACGGGUAGCCGGCCUGAGAGGGCGACCGGCCACAUUGGGACUGAGAUACGGCCCAGACUCCUACGGGAGGCAGCAGUGGGGAAUAUUGCACAAUGGGCGGAAACCUGAUGCAGCAACGCCGCGUGCGGGAUGACGGCCUUCGGGUUGUAAACCGCUUUCAGCAGGGGCGAAGCUUGUGGUGACGGUACCUGCAGAAGAAGCACCGGCUAACUACGUG